GGGAGCAGAUGGGCGAUUUACGCCGUCUUGGUGAUGGUGAGGAAAGUCCCCACUCCUUUAAGCAUGCGGUCCGGCGCAAGCCGGAUGCCCGAGAGGGCAGGCUCUGGAGCAGAAACGUAACCUGUGGUGGUUAUACUAUGAUUUACUUUCAAAGUGAUGAGGUUCCCUCCGUUCAGGCUGAAACGGCCAUUCCCCGCUGGUGCAAGUUCAAAUGUAUCGGGAUGACGUGCUUACAGACCGGAAGGUAGAACGCAUAGUCCAAUAUCGCCUGAAACAGAAUGGGGCUUACAACCUGCACCC
rnacentral:RNase_P_RNA from 1 species